rnacentral:rRNA from 1 species
GAUGAACGCUAGCUACAGGCUUAACACAUGCAAGUCGAGGGGCAUCAGGAAGAAAGCUUGCUUUCUUUGCUGGCGACCGGCGCACGGGUGAGUAACACGUAUCCAACCUGCCCUUUACUCGGGGAUAGCCUUUCGAAAGAAAGAUUAAUACCCGAUAGCAUAAUGAUUCCGCAUGGUUUCAUUAUUAAAGGAUUCCGGUAAAGGAUGGGGAUGCGUUCCAUUAGGUUGUUGGUGAGGUAACGGCUCACCAAGCCUUCGAUGGAUAGGGGUUCUGAGAGGAAGGUCCCCCACAUUGGAACUGAGACACGGUCCAAACUCCUACGGGAGGCAGCAGUGAGGAAUAUUGGUCAAUGGGCGCUAGCCUGAACCAGCCAAGUAGCGUGAAGGAUGAAGGCUCUAUGGGUCGUAAACUUCUUUUAUAUAAGAAUAAAGUGCAGUAUGUAUACUGUUUUGUAUGUAUUAUAUGAAUAAGGAUCGGCUAACUCCGUGCCAGCAGCCGCGGUAAUACGGAGGAUCCGAGCGUUAUCCGGAUUUAUUGGGUUUAAAGGGAGCGUAGGUGGACUGGUAAGUCAGUUGUGAAAGUUUGCGGCUCAACCGUAAAAUUGCAGUUGAUACUGUCAGUCUUGAGUACAGUAGAGGUGGGCGGAAUUCGUGGUGUAGCGGUGAAAUGCUUAGAUAUCACGAAGAACUCCGAUUGCGAAGGCAGCUCACUGGACUGCAACUGACACUGAUGCUCGAAAGUGUGGGUAUCAAACCAGG